AUUAAUAGCGCGUAAGGUGACUUAGGCCGUCGCAUUUUAUGAAUAAAGGAAACCAGUUUAAGUGAUAACGUGUAAAUUGGAAUGCAUUUGUUACCAGUUGGGUCGUUACCGCGUUGUGGAUUGCGUCGAUAGGGUAGCCUUUGACUAACUGUAGGGAAUGUAUUGUGUUUUGUGCCAUGGAUGUGUGCAAUUAUUAAUGAGAGAAAAAGGUGGGACCGACGCACAGAUUUUGGGGGUGUCCGACUUUUCCGAUAGAUAAGUGCCGUACAGACCUUCCACUUUCGCAAGUAGUGAACGGCAACGG